rnacentral:rRNA from 1 species
UGGGGAAUAUUGGUCAAUGGAGGCAACUCUGAACCAGCCAUGCCGCGUGGAGGAUGAAGGUCCUUUGGAUUGUAAACUUCUUUUAUUAGGGAAGAAACCCGAGUUUUCUAACUCGGUUGACGGUACCUAACGAAUAAGCACCGGCUAACUCCGUGCCAGCAGCCGCGGUAAUACGGAGGGUGCAAGCGUUAUCCGGAUUUACUGGGUUUAAAGGGUGCGUAGGUGGGUAGAUAAGUCAGUGGUGAAAUCC